rnacentral:rRNA from 1 species
GCCUGGUGCUUGCACCGGGUGGAUGAGUGGCGAACGGGUGAGUAACACGUGAGUAACCUGCCCCUGACUUCGGGAUAAGCCCGGGAAACUGGGUCUAAUACCGGAUACGACUGCCGGACGCAUGUCUGGUGGUGGAAAGUUUUUUCGGUUGGGGAUGGGCUCGCGGCCUAUCAGUUUGUUGGUGAGGUAAUGGCUCACCAAGACGACGACGGGUAGCCGGCCUGAGAGGGCGACCGGCCACACUGGGACUGAGACACGGCCCAGACUCCUACGGGAGGCAGCAGUGGGGAAUAUUGCACAAUGGGGGAAACCCUGAUGCAGCGACGCAGCGUGCGGGAUGACGGCCUUCGGGUUGUAAACCGCUUUCAGCAGGGAAGAAGCGCAAGUGACGGUACCUGCAGAAGAAGUACCGGCUAACUACGUGCCAGCAGCCGCGGUAAUACGUAGGGUACGAGCGUUGUCCGGAAUUAUUGGGCGUAAAGAGCUCGUAGGUGGUUGGUCACGUCUGCUGUGGAAACGCAACGCUUAACGUUGCGCGUGCAGUGGGUACGGGCUGACUAGAGUGCAGUAGGGGAGUCUGGAAUUCCUGGUGUAGCGGUGAAAUGCGCAGAUAUCAGGAGGAACACCGGUGGCGAAGGCGGGACUCUGGGCUGUAACUGACACUGAGGAGCGAAAGCAUGGGGAGCGAACAGGAUUAGAUACCCUGGUAGUCCAUGCCGUAAACGUUGGGCACUAGGUGUGGGGGGGCAUUCCACGUUCUCCGCGCCGUAGCUAACGCAUUAAGUGCCCCGCCUGGGGAGUACGGUCGCAAGGCUAAAACUCAAAGGAAUUGACGGGGGCCCGCACAAGCGGCGGAGCAUGCGGAUUAAUUCGAUGCAACGCGAAGAACCUUACCAAGGCUUGACAUACACCGGACCGUCCUGGAAACAGGUCUUCUUCUUUGAAGCUGGUGUACAGGUGGUGCAUGGUUGUCGUCAGCUCGUGUCGUGAGAUGUUGGGUUAAGUCCCGCAACGAGCGCAACCCUCGUUCUAUGUUGCCAGCAUGUGAUGGUGGGAACUCAUAGGAGACUGCCGGGGUCAACUCGGAGGAAGGUGGGGAUGACGUCAAAUCAUCAUGCCCUUUAUGUCUUGGGCUUCACGCAUGCUACAAUGGCUGGUACAGAGAGAGGCGAACCCGUGAGGGCAAGCGAAUCCCUUAAAGCCAGUCUCAGUUCGGAUCGUAGUCUGCAAUUCGACUACGUGAAGUCGGAGUCGCUAGUAAUCGCAGAUCAGCAACGCUGCGGUGAAUACGUUCCCGGGCCUUGUACACACCGCCCGUCAAGUCACGAAAGUCGGUAACACCCGAAGCCGGUGGCCUAACCGUAA